GUCAAUAGCCAUACCACUCUGAACGCGCCCGGUCUCAUCUGAGCUCGGGAGCUAAGCAGGGUCAGGCCUGGUUAGUACUUGGAUGGGGAAGGUGCAGUCUAAC
rnacentral:rRNA from 1 species